rnacentral:rRNA from 1 species
CAGCAGUCAAGAAUAUUAGUCAAUGCUCGCAAGAGUGAACUAGCUAACUGAAAUCACUUGUGUGUCACUUGUGAUAACGUAAGGGAAAAUAAUGAUAUUACCUUACUAUUAGUGUCGUCCAAAACUGGUGCCAGAAGACUCGGUAAGGCCAGAGACGCAAACGUUAGUCGUCUUAAUCAGGCGUAAAGGGUUAGUAGGCUGCUUUGAAAAUUUUAUAUUUAAUAUAGCCAGCAAAAACGGUAAAUAUAAGAUGAAUUAAAGCUAGAAUCAAAUAGAGGUUAUAUUGAAUAAUACUUAGAGGAGGGAUUAAAUCCUUAGAUCCUAAGGGGAAUACUAAAGGCGAAAGCUUUUUUUCCACUAAUGAUUGACGCUGAGGAACGAAGGUGAGGAUAGGAAAUAGGAUUAGAUACCCCGGUACCCCUCUCUGUCAACGAUGAAUGGUAGUUAUUAGUUUAAUAGGAUUAGUGACGAUGUUAACACGAUAACCAUUCCGCCUUGUGAGUACGAUUGCAAAAUUGAAAACAAAAAAAUUAGUCGGUCUCGAAGCAAACGAAGUGAAGCAUGUUAUUU